rnacentral:rRNA from 1 species
UACGAAGGGGGCUAGCGUUGCUCGGAAUUACUGGGCGUAAAGCGCACGUAGGCGGCUUUCUAAGUCGGGGGUGAAAUCCUGGAGCUCAACUCCAGAACUGCCUUCGAUACUGGAGAGCUUGAGUCCGGGAGAGGUGAGUGGAACUGCGAGUGUAGAGGUGAAAUUCGUAGAUAUUCGCAAGAACACCAGUGGCGAAGGCGGCUCACUAGCCCGGUACUGACGCUGAGGUGCGAAAGCGUGGGGAGCAAACAGG